UAUGGCUCAGAACGAACGCUGGCGGCAGGCUUAACACAUGCAAGUUGAGCGGGAUUGGUAGUAGCUUGCUAUUAACCAUGAGAGCAGCGCACUGGUGAGUAACACGUGGGAACAUACCUUUUGGUGGGGGACAACAGUUGGAAACGACUGCUAAUACCGCAUAAGCCCUGAGGGGGAAAGAUUUAUUGCCGAAAGAUUGGCCCGCGGAAGAUUAGGUAGUAGGUGGGGUAAUGGCCUACCUAGCCAACGAUCUAUAGCUGGUCUGAGAGGACGAUCAGCCACAUUGGAACUGAGACACGGUCCAGACUCCUACGGGAGGCAGCAGUGAGGAAUAUUGGGCAAUGGAGGGAACUCUGAACCCCAGCCAUGCCGCGUGAGUGAAGAAGGUUUUCGGAUUGUAAAGCUCUUUCGGACGGGAAGAUGAUGACGGUACCGUCUAAAGAAGCACCGGCUAACUUCGUGCCAGCAGCGGC
rnacentral:rRNA from 1 species